rnacentral:rRNA from 1 species
UACGUAGGGUGCAAGCGUUGUCCGGAAUUAUUGGGCGUAAAGAGCUCGUAGGGGGCCUGUCGCGUCGGCUGUGAAAACUCGGGGCUCAACUCCGAGCUUGCAGUCGAUACGGGCAGGCUAGAGUUCGGCAGGGGAGACUGGAAUUCCUGGUGUAGCGGUGAAAUGCGUAGAGACCCGGAGGAACACCAGUGGCGAAGGCGGCUUCCUGGUCUGCGACUGACGCUGUGGCGCGAAAGCUAGGGGAGCAAACGGG